rnacentral:rRNA from 1 species
UUAAAUUGAAGAGUUUGAUCAUGGCUCAGAUUGAACGCUGGCGGCAGGCCUAACACAUGCAAGUCGAGCGGAAACGAGUUAUCUGAA